CAGCAGUCCAACGUGUUCUCCUGUCUGCUUAGAAGUAAAACACCCAAACCAGACUGGGAAUCCAAACUCCACAUAUCCAGGGAUUUUUUCCCAGGAGUCUCUGGAUGGAUGGUGGCUUUCUGCUUGACUUUAGCUCUCAGUAUUGGAGCCAUUCCUCUGCUGGUGAUCCAAUGGAAAAGAAUGGAUAGAAAGUUGAAACUGUGUGAAGUUAAAGGUAAGUGAAGACUUUAAUAAACAGACUGCAAACUCAUUCCAG